UCAGACGGCCGGAUGGCCGCCCUGCCGGCGCCUUCGGGCGGAUGGCGGGGAGGAAAGUCCGGGCUCCACGGAAACACGGUGCCGGGUAACGCCCGGCGGGGGCGACCCCAGGGAAAGUGCCACAGAGAGCAGACCGCCCGGCCGGCGGACAUGAAACCUUCGGGUUGCCUGUGCGUGCCGGGUAAGGGUGAAAGGGUGCGGUAAGAGCGCACCGCGCCCCCGGCAACGGGGGCGGCAUGGUAAACCCCACCGGGAGCAAGACCGAAUAGGAACCGCGUGCCGGAUCGAAACCUUCGGUUGCGGCAGGGCCUGUUUCCGGCCUGGCGGUUCGGGUUGGUCGCGAGAGGCGUCCGGCGACGGGCGUCCCAGAGGAAUGGUCAUCCAGCGCCCCUUCGGGGGUGUGGACAGAACCCGGCUUACAGGCCGUCUGACCCC
rnacentral:RNase_P_RNA from 1 species